AAUUGAUGCCGCAUUUCAGAAUUGAUUCUUGGCCUGCUACUCUAUUUACAGAUUAGAGGCUUCCAUGGACAUUGCCACUUGCUGGGGAUGAUCACCCCGUGGAAACCUAUUUGUCCUCCCUGGCUAACACAAAGGAGUGCCCACGUGUAAACUCCCCACACAACAUCGGGAGCAGUCUGCCGCGAAUAGCCUUACACAAAUGCACUUCAAGAACUUGGGUUUUGUGAUGUAGAGAGUCGAGCAGUGUUCUCAAAGAUGUGGACAUUGUUUACAUUCCAAGUAUGUGAAAAUGUCCAUGUGUUGUUGUUGAGUAUGUGUGUGUAAUUUUUGGAUUUUAUUUGUAGUAUCAGUAUGCAA
rnacentral:lncRNA from 1 species